AUUGAACGCUGGCGGCAUGCCUUACACAUGCAAGUCGAACGGUAACGGGCCUUCGGGUGCCGACGAGUGGCGAACGGGUGAGUAAUGUAUCGGAACGUACCUUUCAGUGGGGGAUAACGUAGCGAAAGUUACGCUAAUACCGCAUAUUCCGUGAGCAGGAAAGCAGGGGAUCGCAAGACCUUGCGCUGAUUGAGCGGCCGAUAUCAGAUUAGCUAGUUGGUGAGGUAAAGGAUCACCAAGGCGACGAUCUGUAGCGGGUCUGAGAGGAUGAUCCGCCACACUGGAACUGAGACAAGGUCCAGACUCCUACGGGAGGCAGCAGUGGGGAAUUUUGGACAAUGGGGGCAACCCUGAUCCAGCCAUGCCGCGUGAGUGAAGAAGGCCUUCGGGUUGUAAAGCUCUUUCGGCCGGGAAGAAAUCGUAUCAGCUAAUACCUGGUGCGGAUGACGGUACCGGCAUAAGAAGCACCGGCUAACUACGUGCCAGCCGCCGCGGUAAAAC
rnacentral:rRNA from 1 species